rnacentral:rRNA from 1 species
AUUAGAGUUUGAUCCUGGCUCAGGAUGAACGCUAGCGGCAGGCUUAACACAUGCAAGUCGAGGGGUAUAGGUUUUCGGACCUAGAGACCGGCGCACGGGUGCGUAACGCGUAUGCAAUCUACCUUUCACAAAGGGAUAGCCCAGAGAAAUUUGGAUUAAUACCUUAUAGUAAUACGACUUGGCAUCAAGAUGUAUUUAAAGAUUUAUCGGUGAAAGAUGAGCAUGCGUCCCAUUAGCUUGUUGGUAAGGUAACGGCUUACCAAGGCAACGAUGGGUAGGGGUCCUGAGAGGGAGAUCCCCCACACUGGUACUGAGACACGGACCAGACUCCUACGGGAGGCAGCAGUGAGGAAUAUUGGACAAUGGGCGCAAGCCUGAUCCAGCCAUGCCGCGUGCAGGAUGACGGUCCUAUGGAUUGUAAACUGCUUUUGUACAGGAAGAAACCCUUUCACGUGUGGAAGAUUGACGGUACUGUAAGAAUAAGGAUCGGCUAACUCCGUGCCAGCAGCCGCGGUAAUACGGAGGAUCCAAGCGUUAUCCGGAAUCAUUGGGUUUAAAGGGUCCGUAGGCGGUCAAGUAAGUCAGUGGUGAAAGCCCAUCGCUCAACGGUGGAACGGCCAUUGAUACUGCUUGACUUGAAUUAUUAGGAAGUAACUAGAAUAUGUAGUGUAGCGGUGAAAUGCUUAGAGAUUACAUGGAAUACCAAUUGCGAAGGCAGGUUACUACUAAUGGAUUGACGCUGAUGGACGAAAGCGUGGGUAGCGAACAGGAUUAGAUACCCUGGUAGAAUCACUAGUGAAUUC